rnacentral:rRNA from 1 species
AUACGUAGGGGGCGAGCGUUGUCCGGAAUGAUUGGGCGUAAAGGGCGUGUAGGCGGAGAUGCAAGUCAGGAGUGAAAUCUAGGGGCUCAACCCCUAAACUGCUUUUGAAACUGUAUCCCUUGAGUAUCGGAGAGGCAGGCGGAAUUCCUAGUGUAGCGGUGAAAUGCGUAGCGAAUAGGAGGAACACCAGUGGCGAAGGCGGCCUGCUGGACGAAAACUGACGCUGAGUCGCGAAAGCGUGGGUAGCAAACAGGAUUAGAUACCCUGGUAGUCCACGCUGGAAACGAUGAAUACUAGGUGUGGGGGGACUGACCCCCUCCGUGCCGCAGGUAACACAAUAAGUAUUCCACCUGGGGAGUUCGAUCGCAAGAUUGAAACUCAAAUGAAUUGGCGGGG